CUCUAAACUUUUCCGGUUCAUUCUCCAUUAACAGUGCUUAUAAGAUGUUUAGGGAAAGACCGUGGAAUCAAAAAGAGGAAGCUUGGAAUCUGGUGUGGAAAUUUUCGGGAUCACAGAGGAGAUUUAUAGGAAUGGCUGGCGUCCAACUUGGAGAAUUGCCAUAGUUUCUCUUUGAGGGAUGUUGACUCCCCAUAUUUUUUUGGUUUAAUCGCAUGGUACAUUUGGAAAAACAUGAAUCUUUUCAUUUUUCAAGGAGUGUCAUCUGUAACAGCCUAUUUUUUAGUAGUGUCAAAAACAAUAAUUUGAGGAUUAUAAA